rnacentral:rRNA from 1 species
AACGAACGCUGGCGGCAGGCUUAACACAUGCAAGUCGAGCGCCCCGCAAGGGGAGCGGCAGACGGGUGAGUAACGCGUGGGAAUCUACCCAUCUCUACGGAAUAACGCAUGGAAACGUGUGCUAACACCGUAUACGUCCUUCGGGAGAAAGAUUUAUCGGAGAUGGAUGAGCCCGCGUUGGAUUAGCUAAUUGGUGGGGUAAAGGCCUACCAAGGCGACGAUCCAUAGCUGGUCUGAGAGGAUGAUCAGCCACACUGGGACUGAGACACGGCCCAGACUCCUACGGGAGGCAGCAGUGGGGAAUAUUGGACAAUGGGCGCAAGCCUGAUCCAGCCAUGCCGCGUGAGUGAUGAAGGCCCUAGGGUUGUAAAGCUCUUUCACCGGUGAAGAUAAUGACGGUAACCGGAGAAGAAGCCCCGGCUAACUUCGUGCCAGCCGCCGCGGUAAUAC